rnacentral:rRNA from 1 species
UACGGGGGGAGCAAGCGUUGUUCGGAUUUACUGGGCGUAAAGGGCGCGUAGGCGGCCACCGCAAGUCGACUGUGAAAUCUCCGGGCUUAACCCGGAAAGGUCAGCCGAUACUGCAGGGCUAGAGUGCAGAAGGGGCAACUGGAAUUCUCGGUGUAGCGGUGAAAUGCGUAGAUAUCGAGAGGAACACCUGCGGCGAAGGCGGGUUGCUGGGCUGACACUGACGCUGAAGUGCGAAAGCUAGGGGAGCGAACAGG